GACAGAGGCCCCGAGCGUUAGGGCGGAAUCACUGGGCUUAAAGCGCGCGCAGGCGGUCCUUUAAGUCUGAUGUGAAAGCCCACGGCUCAACCGUGGAGGGUCAUUGGAAACUGGGGGACUUGAGUGCAGGAGAGAAGAGUGGAAUUCCACGUGUAGCGGUGAAAUGCGUAGAAAUGUGGAGGAACACCAGUGGCGAAGGCGACUCUUUGGCCUGUAACUGACGCUGAGGCGCGAAAG
rnacentral:rRNA from 1 species